AGAUUCACUCAACUCAUCCCGGUGCACACAUAUGCACACCCGGGCUCUUCCCGCUCUGCUUCCUGAAGCAUAGGAGGAAGAAAGGCUGGUCGCGCCCUAUUCAAAGCAGUUGAAUAAUACAAGGGGCGUUCAUUGAUGAGACUGAGUUGUGUCUAUCCCAGUUCACCUUGGCAGCCUCCUUCUCGGACUUUUUUAGGAUCCUCACUUUGAAGGCAGAGAGGAAGGAAGGGAAGUACCCAAAUCUUGGUGUGAGAACUCUUAGGGUGCUUUCAGCUACUUGCUCUUACAUUAGCAAAGCACUGCUAUCUGACUUUCGCGAAAGACAACAAAAACCUCUCCAGACAGGCACCAGUUGUUGGACCAGGGUGGAUAAGGUGCCUGGUGCGGAUUGCUAGCUAAAAGACGUGGUGUUUAACCUUCUUCCCUACUCAUACGAUCUCCAGCAUGUGGGGGAAGUCAGCAGCUAGAAGCCUCCAUUGGCAACCGGCCCAUCAAAAUUCAUUAGGAACACCAUGAGAAAGGUCAAGUGAAGUGAAGCCUGGGCCUUCAAGCCACCUCCACUGCUCAUUCUGUGUUCAGGCCAGCCAAUGCAAACAACACUUACUCCUGCAGACUCCGAACAGUCUUGGAAGGAGCAAAGGAAGCUACAGCGCUGCUGCAGGACUGGGCUAGACCUUAUCUGCUGAGCAGAGUUCCUGGAGUCUGGUGAUAUGCAUUAAGGAAGCAUUGGCCUGGACCACUAGCAUUACCGUCUUGAACCUUUGCCUCGGCAAAGCUUCCAUCAGCUCAUAGCACUUCACUACGGACAGUGGUCUGCCCUCUCUAAAGAAAGGCAGUAGGAAACAAUGGACUGUGUGCUUCUGUAAUUUACAAAUUGACUGUGUUCCCAAACAUCAAUUCAGGCCAUCACUCAAUUCAAGCUAAAGGCCUGGGCUUCCAAAGUUCUGUGCUGUUCUUCAAAUAAAUAAAUCUCCACAUCCCGAGUGUAGAUAAACAGCCACUACAGGUGAAAUCCAGUUGUGGCUUCAAGGUUUUAAAUCAGAAAUCUGCUGUGGAAAGAAAUGCUUGCAAUCUGGAUCUUUUUUUUUUUUUUUUUUUUUUUUUUUUUAAUUUUACUUUCCUGGCUCUGUGUGUGGUGGCUGCUCCGUGGCUCAAUCAGUCGUGGGCAGGGGAGCUCAGGGUGGAUUUUCAGGAGACAGCCUGUGUUUAGACUGAAGGAGAUAUUUGGGACCCACAGAAGUGAGCCCUUCUCCUUUCACUCCUGUUUGCGAUGUGUCACAGUGGGGACUGCUAAUUCCCACCAGAGGCUAGUGUGUGUAUGUUUUCCAGUCCUCGUGGGUGAGCUUGGCAGUCAACACAGUGACUUAGACAUUGAAUGGGAGGCAUUCAUCAUGUUGAAGUCAGACAUCUAAGAGCAGCAAGUAUUUAUGAUGUGUUUAGAAUAAUAGGAAGUAAAAGCUUUUAUAAACAUGAAUCUUUAUGAAGAAUUAAAAAUUUUUAAAUGUGCU